rnacentral:rRNA from 1 species
UACGUAGGCAGCAAGCGUUGUUCGGAAUUACUGGGCGUAAAGCGUGUGUAGGCUGUUCUGUAAGUUUGGUGUGAAAUCUCCCGGCUUAACUGGGAGGGUGCGCCGAAAACUGCAGGGCUUGAGUACGGGAGAGGAGAGCGGAAUUCCUGGUGUAGCGGUGAAAUGCGUAGAUAUCAGGAGGAACACCCGUGGCGAAGGCGGCUCUCUGGACCGUAACUGACGCUGAGACACGAAAGCGUGGGGAGCAAACAGG